rnacentral:misc_RNA from 1 species
GGACUACUGGGGUUUCUAAUCCCGUUUGCUACCCUAGCUUUCGUCUCUCAGUGUCAGUUAUGGCCCAGUAGGACGCCUUCGCUAAUGGUGUUCUUCCUAAUAUCUACGCAUUUCACCGCUACACUAGAAAUUCCUCCUACCCCUAACAUACUCGAGUCUGCCAGUUUCUGCCGCACCUCUGAAGUUGAGCUUCAGUUUUUAACAACAGACUUAACAAACCACCUACAGACGCUUUACGCCCAGUGAUUCCGGAUAACGCUUGCAUCUCCCGUAUUACCGCGGCUGCUG